rnacentral:rRNA from 1 species
GAUGAACGCUGGCGGCGUGCCUAAUACAUGCAAGUCGAGCGAACAGACGAGGAGCUUGCUCCUCUGACGUUAGCGGCGGACGGGUGAGUAACACGUGGAUAACCUACCUAUAAGACUGGGAUAACUUCGGGAAACCGGAGCUAAUACCGGAUAAUAUAUUGAACCGCAUGGUUCAAUAGUGAAAGACGGAUUUGCUGUCACUUAUAGAAGGAUCCGCGCCGCAUUAGCUAGUUGGUAAGGUAACGGCUUACCAAGGCGACGAUGCGUAGCCGACCUGAGAGGGUGAUCGGCCACACUGGAACUGAGACACGGUCCAGACUCCUACGGGAGGCAGCAGUAGGGAAUCUUCCGCAAUGGGCGAAAGCCUGACGGAGCAACGCCGCGUGAGUGAUGAAGGUCUUCGGAUCGUAAAACUCUGUUAUUAGGGAAGAACAAAUGUGUAAGUAACUAUGCACGUCUUGACGGUACCUAAUCAGAAAGCCACGGCUAACUACGUG